AAUAUUGUUUAAUUUAUUACUUGUCAGUCAUUCACAUUUAUUAAAAAUAGUCACUUUAUUAAAUAAUGUGAGAAACUAUGUUCUUUGCGAAUAGACCUGAAGAUGAAUUAUGAAAGGGCACAAGUAUCAAGUAAUGGGCAGGAAGACGCAGAGGUAGAGCAAGAAGAGUAGUGAAAAGAGAGACCUAAAUAAGGAGCAAAUUAUUGGCAUGGGAAAAAUUCCGAUACAAUUUCCUGGACACGUCUGAACACUUCUGUGUUUAGAGGAAAAGAAUUAAUUCAACAGCUAAAACUGCUUGUAAAUCUUGAAAGAAAGCAAAAACUUAUGGAAUUACCACAAAGUCAGACCAGGCCAAUGCAAAUAAAAUUAUCACCAUUGGAAUGUGGUUGGAGGAGUGUUACAAUGGAUGGCAGAAGCAUUGAAUCAGAUCUUAUUGGAAAAGAUACAUUUGAAAGUUUUGAAACCUGGAUUUUGAAAAACAAAAUGAUAACUUGUAUGACCAGUAAUUUAGCACGUAAGACUAGAAUCAAUUCAUUUAUAGUAACUGGGAAUGGAAAUGGAUUGGCUGGAUUUGCGUUAUCAAAAGCCAAAGCAUCCCUAAAGACGAUUAAAAAUAGGGCUGGUCAAAGAUUAAUGUAUAUUCCUACAUAUAAGGAAC
rnacentral:lncRNA from 1 species